UUUAAUGAAAUCAUCCCACCCUUUACUUGGAAGCUAACCAAGGAGAAAUUAUUCUGAGGCGGAGCUGAUCGCACGCCGACGUCAGCGAUGGGCGUUUCGCCGGACGCUUCAUCGGAGCAAUUUCGCCCCUUUCUCCCGUCACCGCCGCAGCCAGAGCCACCGGCUCCCACUUUCGGCUUUCCGGUGCCCUCCCCUCUCCAUGACAACCCUCCUGCUUACCUCUUACUCCCCGUUUACCCCCUCCAACGUCGCCGCCGCAGACGUUGUUGCUGCAUCCGAGUUCUCUCCGCCUCCUCCUUUCUUAUUGCUGGCUUUUUCUUCAUCCUCCUCCUCGCCUCUGCCAUCCUCCUCCUCUGGCCUUCCAACCCUGAGCUCAGCGUCGUCCGCCUCCGCCUAAACCGAUUUAGAGUCACGCCUCUUCCCGCCGUCUCGAUUCAGAUUGCAAUCGGAUUGGAAAUCAAGAUUCGCAAUCCUGAUUUUCUUGCGAUUGACUAUAGCUCGGUUGUCUCCUCCAUCUUCUACCGCGGGGAGCUGCUUGGAUCCGUGACCUCUGCUGGUGGGCGCGUCGAGGCUCGUAAGGUGUCUUAUGUUGACGCAGAUCUGCAUGUUGAUGGGGUUAGGGUUCUGGAAAAUGCGAUUUAUUUGAUCGGGGAUGUGGCUAAGGGGUCUGUCGAGAUUGAUACUGUCACCGAGGCCCAAGGAUGGCUUCGACUCUUCUUCUUCGACCUUCCUAUUAAGGGGAAAAUUUCAUGUAUAACUCGUGUAAAUCCAGAUGAUCAAACUAUCAGUUUUCAAGAUUGUCAUCCCGCGUGAUGCAAUGAUGAUUGAGGUGGCGGAUCUCGGUUGAUAAUGUCAAAUCAGAUUUCACUUUGUCUCCAGAUUUUGAUAGUUGAGAAGAUAAAGCAUACAAGCAAGUAGGGAAAGCAGCCAAAAAAAAGAUGCUUUGCUGACUCCAAAGUGCAAUAGACGUGUAGAGCGCUUCCAUUCCCCUUUAUCUAUAUGCCAAAUUGUUGCCGCCACAAACAAUAAUUCUGUCAUCUUUUUCCUCCUCUUUCUUCCACCACUCAAAGCAAUCUCUUCUUCGCAAAAUUCAUCAUAAAGCUUAUCAAUUCCUACAUCUACUCUUCGUCCUUCUCUUCUGUGGCGCGACCCGAUGUGUUCUUCACGCCAGUCUGAUAUUUCUCCAAGCUCCUUCGAGCUCUGGGAUCGCUGGCGCCGGCGCCGUCAUCUUCAUCGUCUAUUACCAGUUGUGGUUGAAGAGAGCUCGCCGGACGAAGAAGUAAGGCAAUAUUGUUUGUGCUCGCCGACACAUCAUCCUCGAUCAUUUCGAUGCCGCUAUCAUAUGGUUUGCUAUAAGUGGACUGCCGCAAGGGCUUGAGAGAUUAGUAAGUGAGGGAAGCUCAAAAAGGCGAGCUAGCUAUGUUAUGUAUUGGCAACUGAAGCCUACUACUAUAUGACCCAAAAUAUAUAUAGUUCCUGUACAAUUAAUAUCUUAAGCUGUUAUCGCCCAAGAAUUUCUACUCUUGUUUCAGAAUCAUGAAUACCUGCAAGAACUAGUUUAAUUAUUGGUCAUCUCCGUUGCUGUGCUGUA